GUUACCGACCGACCAUCAUCAACAUCGCUGAAUUCGGAGUCAAGUAAAAGUGACUGAACGGAGGAGGCGACGCGAGUCAAUGCGAUGGAGUCUGAGGAUGACAUCUUCAUCCCUGAAAAGGUUUUCAUCCUGGAUGAGGUUUUCAUCCUGGAUGAGACUGUGCAGGAGGCAGAGGAGGAAAGAAUGGUUACUACAGCAUGCCAAACUGACCCCUGGGUGCCAGUCUGCUCAUGUGCUGCGGUGGAGAAGAGGUCCAUUGGACCAUCACUAAAGAGCUCGGGGCCCAGCUAGAUUGAGCCCACGAACAUCAGUAUACAACCGAGUCCGGCCCCUAAACGCCACAGAUGGAGCUGACGGAGAGUGAGAUCAAUGAAGACCAGAACUCGCUGUAUGAACCUGAGAGCUGAGAAUCACAAUCAUCACAGUACAAGCCAAUAUAUACUAUCAAUCACUUUGUGGGAGCAGGCUGGUGUUCCGAAAAUGGAGAAGGAACAAGCCAUGGACAGCAAAUUCAAAGAAACACCCAUUCAUAAAGGGAAUCGGAGUGGAAUUGUGUUUCCACAGAUUUUUUUUACCCGUUUCAACAGAUGUGCUACCUUGUCCCGGUCCUGCUGUUUCUAUUCUCUCUCUCAACCUAUGAAUGCUCAGCUAUGAAAAGCCAACUGACAUUUGCUCCUGAGGUGUUGAACUGUUGCACCCUCUAUAACCACUGUGGUUAUUAUUCUGAUGUAAAAACAGCUUUUGUGAAAUACAUUUGAUAGAUUGUUUGCUGUGCUGGAUGCUGUGUAUUCCCUAACUGUCCGAGUGAUGGGACAUUUAUCUAACAUUUUUGGUGGGUAUUUAAUCUGCAUCUUAACUAUUUAAAGUGGCAAUCAGCUGUAGAAACAAUAACAAAGUGUCUCCCUGCUCCUCUUUCGAUAAAAAGCUGAGGGACGGGGCUGGAGAAAUCUAACCACUCUCAAAUUCAUAGACAGGCCUAUAGAUGCAAGGAC